AUGUCAUCUAGGAAUGACACCAGAUAUGACCGAGUGGAGGCUUUUCAUAUUCUUCUCUUUUACUGCUUAGUUCUGAGAGUGAAUACCAUGAUUGAUAUUCAUAGAAAGCACUGUACACUAGAAGUAUCUACCUGCCUUCAUCUCUCUCUGGUUCUGAGGCAAGUGGCCGGCAUUCACAAGAAGGUGGCCCGGACCAUCUGCAUUUCUGUGGAUCCGAGGAGGCGGAACAAGUCCACGGAGUCCCUGCAGGCCAACGUGCAGCGGCUGAAGGACUACCGCUCCAAACUCAUCCUCUACCCCAGGAAGACCUCGGCCUCCAAGAAGGGAGACAGUUCUCAGGCUGAAGAACUGAAACUGGCCACCCAGCUGACAGGACCAGUCAUGCCCAUCUGGAAUGUCUAUAAGAGGGAGAAAGCUCGAAUCAUCACUGAGGAGGAGAAGAAUUUCAAAGCCUUCACUAGUCUCCGCAUGGCCCGUGCCAACGCCCGGCUUUUUGGCAUACGGGCAAAAAGAGCCAAGGAAGCCACAGAGCAGGAUGUUGAAAAGAAAAAAUAAAGCCCUUCUGGAGACUUG